rnacentral:rRNA from 1 species
AGAUGCAAUCAUACCAGCACUAAUGCACCGGAUCCCAUCAGAACUCCGUAGUUAAGCGUGCUUGGGCGAGAGUAGUAUUAGGAUGGGUGACCUCCAGGAAAGUCCUAGUGUUGCAUCCC